rnacentral:rRNA from 1 species
UUAAGCGACUAAGCGUACACGGUGGAUGCCCUGGCAGUCAGAGGCGAUGAAGGGCGUGCUAAUCUGCGAUAAGCGCCGGUAAGGUGAUAUGAACCGUUAUAACCGGCGAUACCCGAAUGGGGAAACCCAGUGUGACUCGUCACACUAUCAUUAACUGAAUCCAUAGGUUAAUGAGGCGAACCGGGGGAACUGAAACAUCUAAGUACCCCGAGGAAAAGAAAUCAACCGAGAUUCCCCCAGUAGCGGCGAGCGAACGGGGAGGAGCCCAGAGCCUGAAUCAGCAUGUGUGUUAGUGGAAGCGUCUGGAAAGGCGCGCGAUACAGGGUGACAGCCCCGUACACAAAAGCGCAUGUGCUGUGAGCUCGAUGAGUAGGGCGGGACACGUGGUAUCCUGUCUGAAUAUGGGGGGACCAUCCUCCAAGGCUAAAUACUCCUGACUGACCGAUAGUGAACCAGUACCGUGAGGGAAAGGCGAAAAGAACCCCGGCGAGGGGAGUGAAAAAGAACCUGAAACCGUGUACGUACAAGCAGUGGGAGCACAGGUUUACCUGUGUGACUGCGUACCUUUUGUAUAAUGGGUCAGCGACUUAUAUUCUGUAGCAAGGUUAACCGUAUAGGGGAGCCGUAGGGAAACCGAGUCUUAACCGGGCGUUAAGUUGCAGGGUAUAGACCCGAAACCCGGUGAUCUAGCCAUGGGCAGGUUGAAGGUUGGGUAACACUAACUGGAGGACCGAACCGACUAAUGUUGAAAAAUUAGCGGAUGACCUGUGGCUGGGGGUGAAAGGCCAAUCAAACCGGGAGAUAGCUGGUUCUCCCCGAAAGCUAUUUAGGUAGCGCCUCGUGAAUUCAUCUCCGGGGGUAGAGCACUGUUUCGGCUAGGGGGCCAUCCCGGCUUACCAACCCGAUGCAAACUGCGAAUACCGGAGAAUGUUAUCACGGGAGACACACGGCGGGUGCUAACGUCCGUCGUGAAGAGGGAAACAACCCAGACCGCCAGCUAAGGUCCCAAAGUCAUGGUUAAGUGGGAAACGAUGUGGGAAGGCCCAGACAGCCAGGAUGUUGGCUUAGAAGCAGCCAUCAUUUAAAGAAAGCGUAAUAGCUCACUGGUCGAGUCGGCCUGCGCGGAAGAUGUAACGGGGCUAAACCAUGCACCGAAGCUGCGGCAGCGACGCUUAUGCGUUGUUGGGUAGGGGAGCGUUCUGUAAGCCUGUGAAGGUGGCCUGUGAGGGUUGCUGGAGGUAUCAGAAGUGCGAAUGCUGACAUAAGUAACGAUAAAGCGGGUGAAAAGCCCGCUCGCCGGAAGACCAAGGGUUCCUGUCCAACGUUAAUCGGGGCAGGGUGAGUCGACCCCUAAGGCGAGGCCGAAAGGCGUAGUCGAUGGGAAACGGGUUAAUAUUCCCGUACUUGGUGUUACUGCGAAGGGGGGACGGAGAAGGCUAUGUUGGCCGGGCGACGGUUGUCCCGGUUUAAGCGUGUAGGUGUGUGUUCCAGGUAAAUCCGGUUCACUUUAACACUGAGGCGUGACGACGAGGCACUACGGUGCUGAAGCAACAAAUGCCCUGCUUCCAGGAAAAGCCUCUAAGCAUCAGGUAACAUCAAAUCGUACCCCAAACCGACACAGGUGGUCAGGUAGAGAAUACCAAGGCGCUUGAGAGAACUCGGGUGAAGGAACUAGGCAAAAUGGUGCCGUAACUUCGGGAGAAGGCACGCUGACACGUAGGUGAAGUGAUUUACUCAUGGAGCUGAAGUCAGUCGAAGAUACCAGCUGGCUGCAACUGUUUAUUAAAAACACAGCACUGUGCAAACACGAAAGUGGACGUAUACGGUGUGACGCCUGCCCGGUGCCGGAAGGUUAAUUGAUGGGGUCAGCGCAAGCGAAGCUCCUGAUCGAAGCCCCGGUAAACGGCGGCCGUAACUAUAACGGUCCUAAGGUAGCGAAAUUCCUUGUCGGGUAAGUUCCGACCUGCACGAAUGGCGUAAUGAUGGCCAGGCUGUCUCCACCCGAGACUCAGUGAAAUUGAACUCGCUGUGAAGAUGCAGUGUACCCGCGGCAAGACGGAAAGACCCCGUGAACCUUUACUAUAGCUUGACACUGAACAUUGAGCCUUGAUGUGUAGGAUAGGUGGGAGGCUUUGAAGCGUGGACGCCAGUCUGCGUGGAGCCGACCUUGAAAUACCACCCUUUAAUGUUUGAUGUUCUAACGUGGACCCGUGAUCCGGGUUGCGGACAGUGUCUGGUGGGUAGUUUGACUGGGGCGGUCUCCUCCUAAAGAGUAACGGAGGAGCACGAAGGUUGGCUAAUCCUGGUCGGACAUCAGGAGGUUAGUGCAAUGGCAUAAGCCAGCUUGACUGCGAGCGUGACGGCGCGAGCAGGUGCGAAAGCAGGUCAUAGUGAUCCGGUGGUUCUGAAUGGAAGGGCCAUCGCUCAACGGAUAAAAGGUACUCCGGGGAUAACAGGCUGAUACCGCCCAAGAGUUCAUAUCGACGGCGGUGUUUGGCACCUCGAUGUCGGCUCAUCACAUCCUGGGGCUGAAGUAGGUCCCAAGGGUAUGGCUGUUCGCCAUUUAAAGUGGUACGCGAGCUGGGUUUAGAACGUCGUGAGACAGUUCGGUCCCUAUCUGCCGUGGGCGCUGGAGAACUGAGGGGGGCUGCUCCUAGUACGAGAGGACCGGAGUGGACGCAUCACUGGUGUUCGGGUUGUCAUGCCAAUGGCACUGCCCGGUAGCUAAAUGCGGAAGAGAUAAGUGCUGAAAGCAUCUAAGCACGAAACUUGCCCCGAGAUGAGUUCUCCCUGAGACUUAGAGUCUCCUGAAGGAACGUUGAAGACGACGACGUUGAUAGGCCGGGUGUGUAAGCGCAGCGAUGCGUUGAGCUAACCGGUACUAAUGAACCGUGAGGCUUAACCUU